AUAAUAGUAAAGUGGCGAACGGGUGAGUAACGCGUAAAUAACUUGCCUUGGAGAUUGGGACAACAUUGGGAAACCAGUGCUAAUACCAAAUAAUGCAGCGGGCCCUUCGGGGCAUAGUUGUUAAAGUAGGCUUCGGCUUACACUUCAAGAUAGAUUUGCGUCCGAUUAGUUAGUUGGUAGGGUAAUAGCCUACCAAGACUGAGAUCGGUAGCUGGUCUGAGAGGAUGAUCAGCCACACUGGAAUUGAGAUACGGUCCAGACUCCUACGGGAGGCAGCAGUGAGGAAUUUUGCACAAUGGGCGAAAGCCUGAUGCAGCAACACCGCGUGAUUGAUGAAGUUUUUAGGAAUGUAAAAAUCUGUCGUAAGGGAAGAAAUGUUUCGGAUGUUAAUACCAUCUGUUACUGACGGUACCUUACAAGAAAGGACCGGCUAACUUCGUGCCAGCAGCCGCGGUAAUACGAGGGGUCCUAGCGUUGUCCGGAUUUACUGGGCGUAAAGGGUACGUAGGCGUUUUAAUAAGUUGUAUGUUAAAUAUCUUAGCUUAACUAAGAAAGUGCAUGCAAAACUGUUAAGAUAGAGUUUGAGAGAGGAACGCAGAAUUCAUGGUGGAGCGGUGACAUGCGUAGAUAUCAUGAGGAAAGUCAAAUGCGAAGGCAGCCUUCUGGCUCAAAACUGACGCUGAGGUACGAAAGCGUGGGGAGCGAACAGGAUUAGAUACCCUGGUAGUCCACGCCGUAAACGAUGAGUAUUUGGUGCUGGGGGAUUCGACCCUUUCAGUGCCGUAGCUAACGCGAUAAAUA
rnacentral:rRNA from 1 species